CUUGACAUACCGAUGACAGGUCUAGAGAUAGAUUUUCCCUUUUAGGGCAUCGGAUACAGGUGGUGCAUGGUUUGUCGUCAGCUCGUGUCGUGAGAUGUUGGGUUAAGUCCCGCAACGAGCGCAACCCCUAUUGUUAGUUGCCAUCAUUAAGUUGGGCACUCUAGCGAGACUGCCAGUAAUAAACUGGAGGAAGGUGGGGAUGACGUCAAAUCAUCAUGCCCCUUAUGACCUGGGCUACACACGUGCUACAAUGGGAAGUACAACGAGUUGCGAGGCGGUGACGCCAAGCUAAUCUCUUAAAGCUUCUCUCAGUUCGGAUUGUAGGCUGCAACUCGCCUACAUGAAGUCGGAAUCGCUAGUAAUCGCGGAUCAGCACGCCGCGGUGAAUACGUUCCCGGGCCUUGUACACACCGCCCGUCACACCACGAGAGUUUGUAACACCCGAAGUCGGUGAGGUAACCGUAAGGAGCCAACCGCCUAAGGUGGGAUAGAUGAUUGGGGUGAAGUCGUAACAAGGUAAGCGUAGAUGA
rnacentral:rRNA from 1 species